rnacentral:rRNA from 1 species
CCGCCCGUCAAGCCACCUGAGUCGAGAGCACCCGAAGUCGAUGAUCCAACCCGCAAGGGGGCAGCCGUCUAAGGCAGGGCAGAUGAUUGGGGUG